rnacentral:rRNA from 1 species
UACGGAGGUGGCAAGCGUUGCUCGGAAUCACUGGGCGUAAGGGGCGCGUAGGCGGGGCGGUAAGUCGGGUGUGAAAUCCCUCGGCCCAACCGAGGAACUGCGCCCGAGACUGCUUCUCUUGAGUCCCGGAGAGGAAGGUGGAAUUCCCGGUGUAGCGGUGAAAUGUGUAGAGAUCGGGAGGAACACCGGUGGCGAAGGCGGCCUUCUGGACGGUGACUGACGCUGAGGCGCGAAAGCGUGGGGAGCGAACAGG